UACGAAGGGGGCUAGCGUUGCUCGGAAUCACUGGGCGUAAAGGGUGCGUAGGCGGCGCGGUAAGUCGGGUGUGAAAUCUUGGAGCUUAACUCCGAAACUGCAUUCGAUACUGCCGUGCUUGAGGACUGGAGAGGAGACUGGAAUUUACGGUGUAGCGGUGAAAUGCGUAGAUAUCGUAAGGAAGACCAGUGGCGAAGGCGGGUCUCUGGACAGUUCCUGACGCUGGAGGCACGAAGGCCAGGGGGAGCAAAACGGG
rnacentral:rRNA from 1 species